GUGCUCUGUGUUCCAGCAUUGUGUCAAUAAUAAGUGUUGCUGUGAAGAGAACAAUAGUCAGACUGAAUGUUGAACAUCAGCUAGUUUCUCCUGCUGAUUUAAACCUUGUUGGACAGAUGGAACAUUGGCUGUGGAUUAUUCUAGCUGCUCUUUUCUUUGAGUGUAAAGGAGACUCAGUGACACAGACAGAAGGACAUGUUGCUGCUGCUCAAGGAGAAUCUGUGACUCUGGGAUGUUCUUAUGACAGCAGCGUAACUCCAACGUUGUUCUGGUAUCAACAAGAAGAAACUGGUUCUCCAAAGUACAUGCUGCAACAGCUUUCAUCAAGAAACAUCAAAGCUCCAGACUUUAACGAUGACAGAUUUGACACUGACCUCGACAGCAGCAAGAAAUCCUUUAAUCUGACGAUCCAGGAUCUCCGUCUGUCAGACUCUGCUGUGUACUACUGUGCUCUGCAGCCCACAGUGACAGGAAACACCAGAACUCUGUACAAGAACCUGCAAUACCCCAUAACAUCCACUAGAGGGCCUCACACACUGGAUGUUUGGAAUUUUUUUUAGCCCAAAUCAACUCAGGUUCAACAGAUUCAUCGUAAUUAAAUGAAAUAAACAAAAUAUAAA